GUCCACCAAGAGGGAGGAACAAACCAACAGGAGUCAGUAAGUCCCUGAAGGCAGCCAAACACCUGGAACACACCCUGACAGAUCUGGAGAGAAGCCUCGGUGGGUGCAUUUCCCUCAGCCUUCUCCUGACACUCAGCUGUCUCUGCACAUCUGGACAUGCCAUGCCUGGCACACAGGGAAGGGAUCCAUGGCAGCCUCGCUGCCCCGCUGCUGCUGUCACACCCUGCAGGGCUCUCUCCCAGCCUGGCCCGGCUGCAGCUUCUCCCCAGCCUCUGCAGGAAGGCAUUUGGCAUCAGCUGACUGGGAGCCCAAUCUCCACAACGUGCCUUGCACAACCUUAGAUUCCCUACAAUUUCCUGGUCUCCCAGCACAUCAGGAGGGGCAGCUGUUGGGAGGAGGGAGGCCCUGGCCAGCCCCAAUAACCUGGCAUUACUUCUGAUCCUCAUCAGUGUCUAUGACAAGCAUUGCCUCCUGAAGAUGCCACCUCCCCAGUGGGGAAAAAAUCCAUCUGAUCCAGCUUUCCCUUUCCUUUCUCCAGUGGAAAAACGAAAGCCUGUGCCUAAGGAACCAUUUCCUGGGAGAAGCAGUGGCUCACUGGCAGCCUCUGCUGCAGAAAGGGAGCCAAUGCCAGGCACUGUCACUGGAGUUCCCUGGAGAAGGGGAUCCCUGCACACCAUGGAAUGGUUCCCAUCUCUGCUCCUUCUAGACUUGGGUCGUGACUUGCAUCAUUUGGAAAACCUGGUAGAUCACGCUUCAAAGGUCUUGAAGCUUGAUGAAGGAGAAACUGUUGAUGAAGAUGACCUAGAAUCCCAACCCAUAACCAGUUUUAAGCCUGAUGAUGAGGAAGAUGAUGAGGGUGUGUCUGCAAGGAUAACUUUCUCAGGUGCUGUGCUGGAUGCUGCACACAAGCCCAGCUCCCAUCGCAGGGGUCCCCUGAGUAGGAAGGACAAGCCUAUAGGAAAUACUAAGUUCCUGGAGGCAUCCAAACACCUAGAACAACUCCUGACGGAUCUGGAGACAAGUCAUGAUGCAGUCAGCACGUCAACCUGUGAUGAAAACAGCUGGAACAGCAUGAGAAGUGUUUUCUGCUGGGGAACACCUUGUUUGAUGAAGAUAAUGGCCAUUGUGGCUGGUGGGGCGUUGCUCCUGAUGAUGUGCUCUGCCGGAAUCUGGUAUUGCUGGAAGAAGAACCAGUGAGUGCUUUGCUGAUCUCGGCCUCAAGCAGCUUCUUUGA
rnacentral:lncRNA from 1 species